rnacentral:tRNA from 1 species
GGAAAGGUGGCAGAGUGGUUGAAUGCAUCGCACUCGAAAUGCGACAGUCGUUUAGGCGGCUCGGGAGUUCAAAUCUCCUCCUUUCCUCCA